rnacentral:lncRNA from 1 species
CGAUUGGGAAGGGCCGGAUUCCCAGGACUCUGCGGGUACCUCGCGCUGUCACCGCAGCCACGACUCCAGAUUUCCGGAUUCCCUUGUCUGCCAUCUGCCUCCGGCGACCGGCCCACCGAGGAGAAGUCGGCUGUGGGGCACCCUGCGAAGCGCCUCGCGGGGUCAUCUGCCCCUCCCCGGCCGAGACCUGGCACCGUUACCCCCAUCACCCCGCCCGGUGGGCACUGUCCCGGGGCAAACCCCCCCCCCCGCCCCGUCUCCUCCCGGGGGGUGGGGGGGAGGGGUGCAGCCAACACGACUUGCCAGCAUCCCCGGGACGCGCCGCGAGCCCUAGGGUCCCUCCCUCUCCGCGCGCGCACACACACACACACACACACACACACACACACACACAACACACACACACGCACCCACACCCGGACCCCGGCGACCCACGUGCAGCUCGGCCCGGGGCUGGCGCCGCACCUCGGGCUCGGCGCGGCCUCCGGCGAGUUCCGGGCGCAGCCCCGCGACGUGGAGCCCUGGGGGGCGGCCUCCGCGCGGCCGCGGCCGGAGUGGGGGCGUCCCGGCGUGCGGGCGCGGGGACGCUGCGGCCCGCUGGCACACAAAGGAGGCGGCGGGAAGGCGGGGCGGGGCGGGCCGGGGGCGGGGGCGGCAGGAAGGGGCGGGUGCGGGGCGGGCGGCGAUAAAGCCCCCGCCGCCGCGACCGCCCAGCUCGCGCUGUGGGGCUGCCGGGCCGGCCGGGCUGCGCUGCGAGGGCAGGAGGCGCCGCCGCCUCUCCGCUUCCCGGACCUGCCUCGCCGCCGCCGCCGCCGCCGCCGCCGCCGCCGCCGCGGCUCUCCGUCCUCCGACUCUCCGCCCCGCCGCCACCCGGCUCCGGCUCCGGCUCGGGCCGCGCCGCCCUCGGCCGCCGCCACCUGGGGAUCCCGAGCGAGGGGCGGUGAGUACGGGCUGCGGGCGCCCGGGGGCGGGAGGGGCGCGGCCGGCGGGGGUCCCUCCUCCCCUCUCCCCACCCCCCUGCGCCGGCCACGGUGCCGGAGCUCCGCGCGCCGCCCGGCUCCGCGACCUUGCGCCCGGCCCGGGGGGGGGCGUGCGGGGCGAGCCGGGCGAGCGGGGCCCCGGGGCGGCGACGUCGAGGCGGAGGAACUUUCUCAGCCCGCCUCGGGCUGCCUCGGCCGAGGCUGCGUGCGCGCCCGGCUCCGCGCCCGGCCCGCGGGGAGCCCGAGGAGGACCCGGGCCGGGCGAGGAGGGGCCGCGACGGCCGUGGCGUCCAGGUGUGCCCGCAGCCGGGGAGCCCCGGGGCCCGCGUGGUUUCCGCCGGCGCAUCCUCGCUGGCGCCGGUGA